rnacentral:lncRNA from 1 species
ACCCUUAAAAGUACAAAAAUGUAUCUUUAAGGUACAAUUGUGCACCUUUAAGGUACAAUUAUGCACCUUCCAUUGUACAUUGUGUAGCUUUUCGAGGUGUAAGGUACAUAUUUGUCCCUUACAUAUUUGUACCUUAAUGUUUAAAUAUAAAAUAGCAGGAAUUAGUGGAUGCUGAAAAUGUCAUCUCUCAAUAUAGAAACACAAGUUAACCUAUACUAUCAAACUCAAUAAUUGUCAAACUAAAUUAACUGUAAAGUUCUGAGAUAUGGGCAAAAUAAAUCAGAAUGUGUAAAGUUUUGAGAUAUGGGCAAAAUAAAUCAGAAUGUUUUUUUGUUUUUGUUUUUGUUUUUUUGUGAAGUGUCCCUUUGAAUCAUUUUUAAUCAUGUUAAUGAGGAUUAUGUAAUCAUUUAUAUUCACAAACAGUAUUGAAGAAUUUGAUUUUCAAACCCUUUACCCUAUUUAUAUUAGAAUAAAACAGACAAAUAAUUGUUAACGCUUUAAGUUGUGUUCUAUUGAAAGGAUCUAGCUACAGGCUAACCAGAGUUUGACUCGGCGGAAGCAUAAAUAUUGCAGCGCGGAAGGAUACAUGAGUGAAUCGACAGUGAUCCAAGUGUCAAUCAAAGGUGGGAGGAUGGCGCUUCGACAUUUAUCCACGAUUUAAUCACCGGAGUUAUUUAAUUUUUGGGAUAGAGGUCACUGAAGAGGAGAGAAGUAAAUUCAAAGGUAAAGUAUUUGAAUUUUUAAUCAGUGUUUGUGGUGUUAAAUCAAAGUUGGAGUUAACUUUUACUGUUAA